rnacentral:rRNA from 1 species
UACGUAGGGUGCAAGCGUUGUCCGGAAUUAUUGGGCGUAAAGAGCUCGUAGGCGGUUUGUCGCGUCGGCUGUGAAAGCCCGGAGCUCAACUCCGGGUCUGCAGUCGAUACGGGGCAGACUUGAGUGUUGCAGGGGAGACUGGAAUUCCUGGUGUAGCGGUGAAAUGCGCAGAUAUCAGGAGGAACACCGUGGUCGAAGGCGGGUCUCUGGGCAACAACUGACGCUGAGGAGCGAAAGCGUGGGGAGCGAACAGG